UACGGAGGGUGCGAGCGUUGUCCGGAAUCAUUGGGCGUAAAGCGCGUGUAGGCGGUUCCGUAAGUCCGCUCUGAAAGCCCAGGGCUCAACCCUGGGAGGCGGGUGGAUACUACGGAACUGGAGUACGGAAGAGGAGAUUGGAAUUCCUGGUGUAGCGGUGAAAUGCGCAGAUAUCAGGAGGAACACCAACAGCGAAGGCAGAUCUCUGGGACGUUACUGACGCUGAGACGCGAAAGCGUGGGGAGCAAACAGG
rnacentral:rRNA from 1 species